rnacentral:rRNA from 1 species
GAUGAACGCUGGCGGCGUGCCUAAUACAUGCAAGUCGAGCGAACGGACGAGAAGCUUGCUUCUCUGAUGUUAGCGGCGGACGGGUGAGUAACACGUGGAUAACCUACCUAUAAGACUGGGAUAACUUCGGGAAACCGUAGCUAAUACCGGAUAAUAUUUUGAACCGCAUGGUUCAAAAGUGAAAGACGGUCUUGCUGUCACUUAUAGAUGGAUCCGCGCUGCAUUAGCUAGUUGGUAAGGUAACGGCUUACCAAGGCAACGAUGCAUAGCCGACCUGAGAGGGUGAUCGGCCACACGGGAACUGAGACACGGUCCAGACUCCUACGGGAGGCAGCAGUAGGGAAUCUUCGGCAAUGGGCGAAAGCCUUACGGAGCAACGCCGCGUGAGUGAUAAAAGUCUUCGGAUCGUAAAACUCUGUUAUUAGGGAAGAACAUAUGUGUAAGUAACUGUGCGCAUCUUGACGGUAACUAAUCAGAAAGCCACGGCUAAAUACGUG